CUCUCUCACAACCCUGAGAUGAUGACUCAAGCUGGAAUAAAAUAUGGGACACUUAACCGAGCGAACCACCCAGGCACCCCAAAAGUUUAAAUUUUUUUAAGUGAAGAGUAUGUUUGAGAAGCUUUUCAUAUGUUAACACUCUUAUGUUUAUAAUAUUUAGAUAGCAAGAUAGGUAACAAAGAAAUAAGUCUAAGUUUAGGCUGUCCAAUACAGUGACCACUGGCUACAUAUAACUAUUUAAAUUUAAAUUUAAUAGUUCAAGUCACUAGCUGUAAUUUGAAUCUUAAUAGCCACAAUGGCUAGUGGCUCCCAAAUACAGCACAAAUACAGAAUAUUUUUGUCACUAGAAAGUUCUGUCACUACUAAGAAUUUAGCAUUAACAAAGAAGAAAGAUUAGGGUUGUUUAGACAGGCCUGUUCCUUACAUAAAAUUGCUCUAGCCUAGUGUUCAAAAUUGUCUAAAAGUAUUGACAGUUAAGAUUAGUUUAUAAUGUUUAUGCUUUUUCACACAUUUUUUCACAUUUGAUCAUUCCUACAAAUUUGUGAAGUAGGUAGAACAGGCUUUGUUACUCCACUUUGUAAAUGAAUAUACUGACGCUUCAAAUAAUAAAGCUACUCACCCAAGAACUCAUAGUAAUUGGUAGAAUAUGAACAGAAUGUGGUAGUUUUCUAAGAGACUUAGUCUCCCAAGCAGAGCUUAUUACUUCUGUGCUAUCUAAUUCAUUCUAUGUUACAUUUCUUGUUUUAAAAUCUUUAUUAUAGAAUUAAUAUGCACCAUUUUAUACAUAUAUCUCAUGUACAUAUGCAUAUAUCUUACUCUCAAGACUACUACAACUAAAAGUUUGCUCUUCCAAUGUACUCCCCCCCCCCCAAAUAGCUGAGUACUGUUGGACUUUGAGAAAACUGUAGAUUCUCCAGUACUACGGGGAUUCCCUCAAUGAAGAAUUUUUCAAACAGCAGAGAUUUAAACUCCUGAUGAGUUAUUUCAUGACUUUGGAUGUUCUGCAUAAAACGUCAUUAGAAAACAAUGCCAGAGUUUAAAGACUAGAUUAAAAGAAGUUUUCUAGUCCAAAUUUUCUGUUAUCAGAAAUAGAUGUUAAAUUUUACUAGACCUUUUUCAUCAGUUUUUUUCCCUUGAAAUUUAAUUGUGUUGAGUGUAUUUAUAUAGAGCUUCAUAUACUAUUCUCUCUGCUUUUGUGUUUUUUGAAAUUUUCCAUAUAAUAAAAAAUUAAAAUGUAGUUGAUCCUCUCUAUUCAUGUAUUGUGUAUUUGCAAAUAGUCCUGCUUGCUACAAUGUAGUUGUAACCCCAAAAUCAAUAUCUGUAGCACUUUUCACUGUCAUUCACAGAAAUGCCAGACAUGGUCAUGUGCAGAGAGACCAAAAACUUGAGUUUGCCCAAUGCAUAUGUUCCCAGCUGAGGUCAAACAGUGAAGCUCUACCUUCUUGUAUCAGCUCUCAUGAACAAAUGUUCUUUUAUGAUCUAUUUAAUGCCAGAUUCUUCAUAGUUUUGUGCUUUUUGUUGGUGAUAUGGCUGUUUACAGUAGGCACCAAGGGUAAUGUUAAAGUACUUUCUAGUGUUCCUAAGUGCAAGAAGGCUUAUGCCUUGCAGAGAAAGUACAUGUAUUAGAUAAGCUUCAUUCCAGCAUGAGUUACAGUACUGUUGGCCGUUGAGUUCAAUGUUAAUGAAUCAACAAUAUAUAUUAAACAGUGUGACUUCAAAAAGAAAUAUCCACAAAACAAGGUUAUAUAUUGAUGGACUGGUGAAAAUAUUGUGACCAGAGGCUCACGGGAACCUAACCUUGUAUUUCCCUUAGGAGCAAUGGCUUGAUGUUUGCAAAUUAUUCCUGCUGACUUUAUAGAAUGUAACCAUCACAAAUAACAAAUCAACUCUUUGUAAUUGUAAUGAUUUAUAGUAGUUGGAUUUCUUAAUAUUGAACCAUUUUUGGAUUCUUGGAAUAAACAAUUUGGCAAAGGUGUGGGUAGUAUUCUUUUAGUAUAGUACGAGGUUAGUUUUCAGUGUUUUUUCCCUUGGAAUUUUACAUUAAUCUGCUUUUCAUCAUUUUUUAUUGGAAAAUCUUACUAUUUUGUUUUUAAGUGUGUAUAUAUAUGUGUAUCUGUGUUUAAGAUGUAAGUUACCCAAGUCAUACAUUAAUAUCUUUACAUAAAUUUUUUGGAAAAUACAGAAGUGAUACUCCUUUUUUUUCUUCUCUAUACCUUAUCCUCUGCCUCAGCCUUUCUGUUAAUUAUUCGUAAUUUGUUCAGUGUCUCUAAAAAUCUUUCUUUGUAAUGCUCAUCUGCACAUAUUCAUAUAUAUAAAGGUUUUUGUUUUGUUCAUGUGA